AGAGAAGAAAAGAAAGGAUAAAAGGAAGGAAAAAGAAGAAGAAAAUUUUCAUUUUACUUUUCUUCUUCUAUUCCCUCCACCGCCAAGGUUUUCUCCAUCCAUUUCCACCACUUUUUUCACCAUUUCUGCACCAAAUUUCAGAGGAAUUUCCAGGAAAGAAGGCUGAGAAAGAAAGAAGAAAAGGUUCAAGAAGUUUUAUUGAAGAAAGACAAGGGAAUUGCAAACAAAGCUUCAUCCUUGGUAGAAAUUGAUUCACACAGCACACCUCUAAUGUUCUGUUGAUUCCGAGCUACACAAAAAACAUUAAGAGGGUAACUGGUUUUCACGCGAUUUCAAGAGGUCUAUGAUUUUUCUUGUUUUUCUAAGAGUACCGAUGGAGUUAGGAUCUCUAUUUGGAACAAGUUAAAGGGAUCGUGUGCGCGCGAUUAUUGAAGUUGUUCUGUUUCGAGGGUCAUCUGAGUUUAUUUACAGGGAAUCAGAUUUACAUGUCUGGAGGCCAAGAGGAAAUAGGUCGGAUUUACACAUCGAGAAACUAGUCCAAGAUUGUUAGAUUUCGUUGUUGACGUUGAGUGUACUCCGUAACAACAAUGUUGUCGUGAGUGCUGGGUGGGUCCCACUACAACAAAGACGAUGGAAGUGCUGGGCGGAUGCCACUACAUCGUAGAGCUUGUAAACGUUGUUGUACUGGGUGUACCCUACACAACGUAGAUUUGUCAUGUUAGUUAAAAUAUUUUGAUAUACUUGAUAGGCCUUGCUAAAUUUCAAUGACGUAUAUACUGAGUAUUUAAGGAAGCUAUUCUCAUGAUUAUACAUCUAUGUUUACGACUUGUAUAAACAGAUUUAUAAGUGUAAGCUUUCACGUGCUCUUACUUUUAAA